rnacentral:tRNA from 1 species
GCCCGUUUAGCUCAAUGGUUAGAGCAUCAGCCCACGGACUGAAGGGUUGUGGGUUUGAUUCCCCAUCAGGCG